rnacentral:rRNA from 1 species
UACGUAGGACCCGAGCGUUGUCCGGAUUUAUUGGGCGUAAAGCGAGCGCAGGUGGUUUAUUAAGUCUGGUGUAAAAGGCAGUGGCUCAACCAUUGUAUGCAUUGGAAACUGGUAGACUUGAGUGCAGGAGAGGAGAGUGGAAUUCCAUGUGUAGCGGUGAAAUGCGUAGAUAUAUGGAGGAACACCGGUGGCGAAAGCGGCUCUCUGGCCUGUAACUGACACUGAGGCUCGAAAGCGUUGGGAGCAAACAGG